AUACGAGUGCAAAAUGUUAUCCUCGACUUGUGGAAAAUACUUAAUCGUUGAGUGGUAACUAUCCCUUCGAAGAUCCCUUAAGUUGCUGAAUUUUUAACCUAUCUUGCAAUUUUUAUUUUACUCGUGACCAUCAGCAUUCCUAGGAAAUUCCAUAAAUUUUAGUUGUUUAUACUACGCUGCACAGUGGAAUUUCUGUAGAUUUCUGUAAAUCGUAAAAUUUGGAGUCCCAUGGAAAUUCCUUUUUUUGUUCACUUUUGGGGGUGAGUUGUUCAGAUGUCCUCAAUAGGGGGAGGGGGUGCAGAUUAAACAUGCAAUCGAGUAAUCUUACAAUGAUUCUUGCAAUCUGAAUUGGCAGAAAUCCCGCUUUUCUUUGUAAUAUUUCAAGGCCUGUAGCAUUGUAAUUGAAUAUAUUUGCCUUAGAAUAAUGUGAUAUUUUCAGUCAACCUGGGAUAGCUAUAGCGCCUAGUACAACAUUUAACCCGUUGAUGUGGCUCCCUCCUACACACGUAAAACGUGCGUAAAAAGUUGUUACAGCCUGCAAACAAGUUAUUACAGAUCUGUUGACAAGUUGUGUUCGCACUGCUUGUUCCUAGUUGUUAUAACAAGUUUGGAACAAGCUGUUAACAACUUGUAACGUUAAACAAGCUUGAUGGCAUUAUCAGACUUGUUACAAGGUUGUUCUAACAAGUCUGAUACAAUCAUGAUAUAACAAGAAUGUUACAAGGUUGAUGACACAAGGUUGUAACAAUAUUGUUAUAUCAUGACUGUAUCGGACUUGUUGGAACAACCGCAACAAGUCUGAUAAUAUCAACAAGGUUGUUACAAGUUGUGAACAGCUUGUUCCAAACUUGUUGACAACUUGAGACAAGCAGUGCGAACACAGCUUGUUGACGGUUUGUUGCGAGCAAACUUGCUGCAAGAUGUGAGAUUUUUGCGUGUGUAUACAGUUAUAGUACAGUUUAAAAAACAAGAUUUAUAUAGACCAGACGUCGUCCUCGCGAC